UGGGGAAUAUUGGGCAAUGGGCGAAAGCCUGACCCAGCCAUGCCGCGUGAGUGAUGAAGGCCUUAGGGUUGUAAAACUCUUUCGCUAGUGAAGAUAAUGACGGUAACUAGUAAAGAAGCCCCGGCUAAUUUCGUGCCAGCAGCCGCGGUAAUACGAAAGGGGCUAGCGUUGUUCGGAAUUACUGGGCGUAAAGCGCGCGUAGGCGGGCUAUCAAGUUGGGGGUGAAAUCCCGGGGCUCAACCCCGGAACUGCCUCCAAAACUGUUAGCCUAGAGGAUGUGAGAGGAUAGUGGAAUUCCGAGUGUAGAGGUGAAAUUCGUAGAUAUUCGGAAGAACACCAGUGGCGAAGGCGACUGUCUGGCACAUUUCUGACGCUGAGGUGCGAAAGCGUGGGGAGCAAACAGG
rnacentral:rRNA from 1 species